rnacentral:tmRNA from 1 species
GGGGCUGAUUCUGGAUUCGACGGGAUUUGCGAAACCCAAGGUGCAUGCCGAGGGGCGGUUGGCCUCGUAAAAAGCCGCAAAAAAAUAGUCGCAAACGACGAAAACUACGCUUUAGCAGCUUAAUAACCUGCUUAGAGCCCUCUCUCCCUAGCCUCCGCUCUUAGGACGGGGAUCAAGAGAGGUCAAACCCAAAAGAGAUCGCGCGGAUGCCCUGCCUAGGGUUGAAGCGUUAAAACGAAUCAGGCUAGUCUGGUAGUGGCGUGUCCGUCCGCAGGUGCCAGGCGAAUGUAAAGACAGACUAAGCAUGUAGUACCGAGGAUGUAGGAAUUUCGGACGCGGGUUCAACUCCCGCCAGCUCCACCA